rnacentral:rRNA from 1 species
ACUAGCUUGCUAGUUGCUGACGAGUGGCGGACGGGUGAGUAAUACUUAGGGAUCUGCCUCUGUGUGGGGGAUAACUAUUGGAAACGAUAGCUAAUACCGCAUAACGUCUACGGACCAAAGAGGGCUUCGGCUCUCGCGCAGAGAGGAACCUAAGCGAGAUUAGCUUGUUGGUGAGGUAAAGGCUCACCAAGGCGACGAUCUCUAGCUGUUCUGAGAGGAAGAUCAGCCACACUGGAACUGAGACACGGUCCAGACUCCUACGGGAGGCAGCAGUGGGGAAUAUUGCACAAUGGGGGCAACCCUGAUGCAGCCAUGCCGCGUGUGUGAAGAAGGCCUUCGGGUUGUAAAGCACUUUCAGUUGCGAGGAAAGGUUAGUAGUUAAUACCUGCUAGCUGUGACGUUAACAACAGAAGAAGCACCGGCUAACUCCGUGCCAGCAGCCGCGGUAAUACGGAGGGUGCGAGCGUUAAUCGGAAUUACUGGGCGUAAAGCGCACGCAGGCGGUCUGUUAAGCUAGAUGUGAAAGCCCCGCGCUCAACGUGGGAGGGUCAUUUAGAACUGGCAGACUAGAGUCUUGGAGAGGGGAGUGGAAUUCCAGGUGUAGCGGGGGAAUGCGUAGAGAUCUGGAGGAACAUCAAUGGCGAAAGCAACUCCCUGGCCAAAGACUGACGCUCAUGUGCGAAAGUGUGGGGUAGCGAACAGGAUUAAAUACCCUGGUAGCCCACACCCGUAACGCUUGUCUACUAACUGUUGGUGGAUUUUAUCCGUGAGGAGGCGAAACUAACGCGAUUAUUAAACCG